rnacentral:rRNA from 1 species
CCUUGGUGAUUCAUAAUAACUUCUCAGAUCGCAUGGCCUUGCGCCGGCGACGGUUCAUUCAAAUUUCUGCCCUAUCAACUUUCGAUGGUAAGGUAUUGGCUUACCAUGGUUUCAACGGGUAACGGGGAAUUAGGGUUCGAUUCCGGAGAGGGAGCCUGAGAAACGGCUACCACAUCCAAGGAAGGCAGCAGGCGCGCAAAUUACCCAAUCCCGACACGGGGAGGUAGUGACAAUAAAUACUGAUACAGGGCUCUUUUGGGUCUUGUAAUUGGAAUGAGUACAAUUUAAACCUCUUAACGAGGAACAAUUGGAGGGCAAGUCUGGUGCCAGCAGCCGCGGUAAUUCCAGCUCCAAUAGCGUAUAUUAAAGUUGUUGCAGUUAAAAAGCUCGUAGUUGAAACUUUGGCCUGGCUGGCAGGUCCGCCUCACCGCGUGCACUUGUCCGGCCGGGCCUUUUCUUCUGGAGAACCGCAUGCCCUUCACUGGGUGUGUUGGGGACCAGGACUUUUACUUUGAAAAAAUUAGAGUGUUCAAAGCAGGCCUUUGCUCGGAUACGUUAGCAUGGAAUAAUAGAAUAGGACGUGCGGUCCUAUUUUGUUGGUUUCUAGGACCGCCGUAAUGAUUAAUAGGGACAGUCGGGGGCAUCAGUAUUCAAUUGUCAGAGGUGAAAUUCUUGGAUUUAUUGAAGACUAACUACUGCGAAAGCAUUUGCCAAGGAUGUUUUCAUUAAUCAGUGAACGAAAGUUAGGGGAUCGAAGACGAUCAGAUACCGUCGUAGUCUUAACCAUAAACUAUGCCGACUAGGGAUCGGGCGGUGUUAUUAUUUUGACUCGCUCGGCACCUUACGAGAAAUCAAAGUGUU